AUUACUUGCCUUGAUCCAAUGUGAGGGAACAUUUGGAAGUGUCGCACUGGAGUGUCAACAUCAUAGCUAAAUGUUAGGCUCUAAAUUUUAUGAUGUAAAUAUUUACAAAGUAUGUGCCAGAUCACCAGAGUAACCAUCCAGUUCACGUCCCGGUUUUGGAAUCGUACACUGCACUAACAACAGAGGAAGAAAGUUGAACAAAAUUUCAAUGUCUGAUGGCAGCAUAAUAUGGCCCAGAAGUUUUUGCUCCCUUUCACUUUCCAUGCACUUACCUUCUUGACCAGAAUAUAACUGGUAAUAACACUGUGAUGCCCAAUGCCAGCGCCUCAGAAUUUGCAUCUGUAAAUCUCUUCUUGUAAUCUACAAGGACUGGCUUUAAUCUUGUCAUGCUUUAAUUCCAUACUGACCACCUUUGGAGACUAAGAAAUAGCCCACCAUUUUUUCCCAGCAGAAAAUAAGAAAAAUAGUCACAUACUUGAUUGAAAAAUUAAAACCUCUAACAGUUUAGAUCUUUCUCCAAGUAAAAGGAGAUUGCUGGCAAAGAACUAAUCCACAAGAUAUUUUUUCCAGAAACUCUCACUUUAUUAUCCCUGUUAAAGAGUUUAAAUUGCUGAAUUACUUCUUCUGUGGUAUGUCAUUUUAAUUCUGUCAGUAAUGUUAUAUAGAAAAGCUCAGUGUCCAAACCUUGGAAUUUAUUAAAAAGUAGUUGAAAACAAUGCAAACUCUAGCCACUUACUAAAAUUAGAGAUUAUUUUUUAAUUCAUUUUCUGACAUGUCUCAACCCUAUAAAGCAUUUCUGAACAUCUCAAAGAGACAUAAUUUCAAUAAAAGCAUAUUCUGGGGCAGUUUCAAUUUAUGUUAUCUGACACAUAAAAUUUUGCAGAAUAAUAAAUUUUCUUAGACUUUCAAACACAUAAAGAGAACAUUGCUCCUCUUGUAGAAUUUUUAAUUUUUUCUAGUUUUGAUGGAUAUUAUUUCUAUUUGUUAUACCCUUCUUUCUAAAUUAGUCUUGGUUUUUCUUUUUGAGAGUGGCCAUAAGCUCUAGACCCUGCCCUGACUAGAAAUUCAAGGGAUUUGGUUGCAGAUGUUUACAGUGUGUCUUAAAUGGGAUACUUCUUUAUCCUGGCAGAAGGCCUAAUACCCAAGUGACCUGAGGCCAGGUGUCCCUUCCACAGGAAUCUUAUUUACACUGGCAGAUGCCCUUGUGACACUCGUCUGACCUGUGUCCAGUUUGUUCCUACCAAGAUAGCCACUCUCUAAAAAAGAACCCAGACUGGAAAGAAGGUUAGGUCCAGGAAUGCAUGUUUCAAGUGAGACCCAAUGAGGAAAUGAAACUAAAAUGUAUGUAACAGAAGACCAUUGUCACUUACAGGUCCUAGAACAGCUUAGGGAAACUGAUGGGGAAAUCCUGAGGCAGCAGGGAGUUCAGCCAGAGGGUGAUGGUGGGUAGAAGGAAAAAGGAGAAAUGAGGGAGAGGAGAAGGAAAAACAAGAGGGAGAUAGCAGAGGGAGAGGGACAGAGAGAACUUAUGGGACUAU
rnacentral:lncRNA from 1 species